GUUCGUGAGUCUUGCUCAGUAAGCGCUAUCUUUGUCAGGAUAUCCCUACCACGACUCCAAGGAAGACGAGGACUACGCGCGUGACGGAGAGCGAGGACGACUGCAAAGCCUCUCAACGUGCUGCCAGGUCCAGUGGAGUUCAGAGUCAAGUUCAGUCAUCUACCUCUGUUAAAAUAUCUGGAUUUCACAAGAGAGUUAUAGCCAAUUCAAGCUACGCAGAGAUUCCUGUACUGCUGGACACAUAGGUUUGGUGUCUAACUGAAAGACGUAUAUGGAUCCAUUCAGAAAUAACGAUGUUCGUCCUCCAUUAAGAGAACUAUCUAACAAUACCCUUGAAGGAGGACGUGCUAAUGCAAUGCAACGUAAGAGGGAAAGAGAAAGAGCACGAUAUGCAGCAAUGAGUGAUGAAAAAAAAACGAACUAAAGAAGCGUCGUGAGUCACGCACAAAAGAAAACCUUGAGCACCAUAAGCACUCAAACGAUGAAUGUCCAGAUAUGUCUAUAAGCGACGGAAGCAUCAUUGAUUGUACUAUACCGUGUGAUACCACUCCAGGAGGACGUGAUGAUGCAAGACAACGUAAGAGAGAAAGAGAAAGAGUACGAUAUGCUACGAUGAGUGCUGAAAAGAAAAAUGAAUUGAAGAAGCGUCGUGAGUCACGAAAAAAGGGAAAUGUUAUGCACCAUGAGUAUUCAGAAGUUUGCAACAUCCCUGCAAACAAGGACAACAAUAAUCAUCAAAACAAUGAAAUUGAGGAUGUUGAUGAUGAUUCUUAUCAGUUGCAUAAGAAUAACUCAUUUGAGGUGCAUAGAAGACUUGGCAGUGAAAAACUUUCCACACAUUUGUCAGAUGAAUGUCCACAGGUGUUUGUAAGCGACAGAAGCAUCAAAAAUC
rnacentral:misc_RNA from 1 species